GAUGAAGAACGUAGCGAAAUGCGAUAAGUAGUGUGAAUUGCAGAAUUCCGUGAAUCAUCGAAUCUUUGAACGCACAUUGCGCCUUCUGGUAUUCCGGAAGGCAUGCCUGUUCGAGAGUCAUUAACAACCGUUUCGAUCCCUUUCUUUCAGAAAUUACAAAGAGGAAAAGGGUUUGGUUAUGGUGGAGGAGGGAAAGGGAGCGUUUAGCCUGUAAAAAAAGAGGCUGUGUUCCGCCUCCCCCCCAAAAUUGUACAGGCGGUCGUGUGCGCCCACGCAUCGAGGUGUUGUAAAAGCUGCCACGGCACUUUUCACCUGUGCAGUGCGAGAUUGGCCAGCCGGUUUAAAAACCCCUCCAAACAAUCAAAGGUUGACCUCGGAUCAGGUAGGAAUACCCGCUGAACUUAAGCAUAUCAAUAAGCGGAGGA
rnacentral:misc_RNA from 1 species